CUCCGGCUGACGAGUCCCCGGUGGGACGAAACGCGCGUCAAACUGGAU
rfam:Schistosoma rodhaini strain Burundi genome assembly, scaffold: SROB_contig0006042